UGUGUUUAAUUGACUAAUGGUUAACUGAAGUGGAAUGUGCAGCUGAACUAAAUCAGUGUGGUUCUGGGCAUGGAAGGCCCACCUGAGGAUUGUUGCCAAUGGCACAAAAGGAGCAUAGGAGGGGAAGGUGCAUGCUGUUGUUUUUCCUGGAGAAGCUUGUCCCCACGACUUGUUUUUCGGAUAGAAGGAGCCUCCUGAUGAUAGCACUGCAGUCAGCCAUGCUUUAUGUCCAGCAGAGGGCCUUCUAGAGGGGUCAUCACAGAGUGCUGCUUCAUCUCUCUCCACAGCAGAAUUCACUCUGUAAUUCCAGCUUGCCUUGAACUCACUAUGUAGUCUCAGCUGGCCUUGAACUUAUGGUUGUCCUCCUGCCUCAGC